rnacentral:rRNA from 1 species
GAUGAACGCUGGCGGCGUGCCUAACACAUGCAAGUCGAGCGAAGCACUUUAAAGUUUUCGGACAGAGAGGUGACUGAGCGGCGGACGGGUGAGUAACGCGUGGGUAACCUGCCUCACACAGGGGGAUAACAAUCAGAAAUGACUGCUAAUACCGCAUAAGCGCACAGUACCGCAUGGUACGGUGUGAAAAACUCCGGUGGUGUGAGAUGGACCCGCGUCUGAUUAGGUAGUUGGUGGGGUAACGCCUACCAAGCCGACGAUCAGUAGCCGACCUGAGAGGGUGACCGGGCCACAUUGGGACUGAGACACUGCCCAAAUCCUACGGGAGCAGCAGUGGGGAAUAUUGCACAAUGGGCAAAGCCUGAUGCAGCGACGCCGCGUGAG